rnacentral:rRNA from 1 species
UACGUAGGGCGCAAGCGUUGUCCGGAAUUAUUGGGCGUAAAGAGCUCGUAGGCGGCUUGUCACGUCGGAUGUGAAAGCCCGGGGCUUAACUCCGGGUCUGCAUUCGAUACGGGCUAGCUAGAGUGUGGUAGGGGAGAUCGGAAUUCCUGGUGUAGCGGUGGAAUGCGCAGAUAUCAGGAGGAACACCGAUGGCGAAGGCAGAUCUCUGGGCCGUAACUGACGCUGAGGAGCGAAAGCAUGGGGAGCGAACAGG